ACAGUGCUUGGCACAUAGUAGGUGCUCAGUAAGCGUUCAUGGUUGAAUUAAUGCAAUGGGUACUCACUUCCUUCAUUUUCUUAGCUAAGCUCGGG
rnacentral:pre_miRNA from 1 species